rnacentral:rRNA from 1 species
UACGUAGGGUGCGAGCGUUAAUCGGAAUUACUGGGCGUAAAGUGUGCGCAGGCGGCUUCGCAAGUCGAGUGUGAAAUCCCCGAGCCUAACUUGGGAAUUGCGCUCGAAACUACGGAGCUGGAGUGUGGCAGAGGAAGGUGGAAUUCCACGUGUAGCGGUGAAAUGCGUAGAGAUGUGGAGGAACACCGAUGGCGAAGGCAGCCUUCUGGGCCAACACUGACGCUCAUGCACGAAAGCGUGGGGAGCAAACAGG